GGUUAAGCGACUAAGCGUACACGGUGGAUGCCCUGGCAGUCAGAGGCGAUGAAGGACGUGCUAAUCUGCGAUAAGCGCCGGUAAGGUGAUAUGAACCGUUAUAACCGGCGAUUUCCGAAUGGGGAAACCCAGUGUGAUUCGUCACACUAUCAUUAACUGAAUCCAUAGGUUAAUGAGGCGAACCGGGGGAACUGAAACAUCUAAGUACCCCGAGGAAAAGAAAUCAACCGAGAUUCCCCCAGUAGCGGCGAGCGAACGGGGAGGAGCCCAGAGCCUGAAUCAGCAUGUGUGUUAGUGGAAGCGUCUGGAAAGGCGCGCGAUACAGGGUGACAGCCCCGUACACAAAAGCGCAUGUGCUGUGAGCUCGAUGAGUAGGGCGGGACACGUGGUAUCCUGUCUGAAUAUGGGGGGACCAUCCUCCAAGGCUAAAUACUCCUGACUGACCGAUAGUGAACCAGUACCGUGAGGGAAAGGCGAAAAGAACCCCGGCGAGGGGAGUGAAAAAGAACCUGAAACCGUGUACGUACAAGCAGUGGGAGCACAGGUUUACCUGUGUGACUGCGUACCUUUUGUAUAAUGGGUCAGCGACUUAUAUUCUGUAGCAAGGUUAACCGUAUAGGGGAGCCGUAGGGAAACCGAGUCUUAACCGGGCGUUAAGUUGCAGGGUAUAGACCCGAAACCCGGUGAUCUAGCCAUGGGCAGGUUGAAGGUUGGGUAACACUAACUGGAGGACCGAACCGACUAAUGUUGAAAAAUUAGCGGAUGACCUGUGGCUGGGGGUGAAAGGCCAAUCAAACCGGGAGAUAGCUGGUUCUCCCCGAAAGCUAUUUAGGUAGCGCCUCGUGAAUUCAUCUCCGGGGGUAGAGCACUGUUUCGGCUAGGGGGCCAUCCCGGCUUACCAACCCGAUGCAAACUGCGAAUACCGGAGAAUGUUAUCACGGGAGACACACGGCGGGUGCUAACGUCCGUCGUGAAGAGGGAAACAACCCAGACCGCCAGCUAAGGUCCCAAAGUCAUGGUUAAGUGGGAAACGAUGUGGGAAGGCCCAGACAGCCAGGAUGUUGGCUUAGAAGCAGCCAUCAUUUAAAGAAAGCGUAAUAGCUCACUGGUCGAGUCGGCCUGCGCGGAAGAUGUAACGGGGCUAAACCAUGCACCGAAGCUGCGGCAGCGACGCUGAUGCGUUGUUGGGUAGGGGAGCGUUCUGUAAGCCUGCGAAGGUGACCUGUGAGGGUUGCUGGAGGUAUCAGAAGUGCGAAUGCUGACAUAAGUAACGAUAAAGCGGGUGAAAAGCCCGCUCGCCGGAAGACCAAGGGUUCCUGUCCAACGUUAAUCGGGGCAGGGUGAGUCGACCCCUAAGGCGAGGCCGAAAGGCGUAGUCGAUGGGAAACGGGUUAAUAUUCCCGUACUUGGUGUUACUGCGAAGGGGGGACGGAGAAGGCUAUGUUGGCCGGGCGACGGUUGUCCCGGUUUAAGCGUGUAGGUGUGUGUUCCAGGUAAAUCCGGUUCACUUUAACACUGAGGCGUGACGACGAGGCACUACGGUGCUGAAGCAACAAAUGCCCUGCUUCCAGGAAAAGCCUCUAAGCAUCAGGUAACAUCAAAUCGUACCCCAAACCGACACAGGUGGUCAGGUAGAGAAUACCAAGGCGCUUGAGAGAACUCGGGUGAAGGAACUAGGCAAAAUGGUGCCGUAACUUCGGGAGAAGGCACGCUGACACGUAGGUGAAGUGAUUUACUCACGGAGCUGAAGUCAGUCGAAGAUACCAGCUGGCUGCAACUGUUUAUUAAAAACACAGCACUGUGCAAACACGAAAGUGGACGUAUACGGUGUGACGCCUGCCCGGUGCCGGAAGGUUAAUUGAUGGGGUCAGCGCAAGCGAAGCUCCUGAUCGAAGCCCCGGUAAACGGCGGCCGUAACUAUAACGGUCCUAAGGUAGCGAAAUUCCUUGUCGGGUAAGUUCCGACCUGCACGAAUGGCGUAAUGAUGGCCAGGCUGUCUCCACCCGAGACUCAGUGAAAUUGAACUCGCUGUGAAGAUGCAGUGUACCCGCGGCAAGACGGAAAGACCCCGUGAACCUUUACUAUAGCUUGACACUGAACAUUGAGCCUUGAUGUGUAGGAUAGGUGGGAGGCUUUGAAGUGUGGACGCCAGUCUGCAUGGAGCCGACCUUGAAAUACCACCCUUUAAUGUUUGAUGUUCUAACGUGGACCCGUAAUCCGGGUUGCGGACAGUGUCUGGUGGGUAGUUUGACUGGGGCGGUCUCCUCCUAAAGAGUAACGGAGGAGCACGAAGGUUGGCUAAUCCUGGUCGGACAUCAGGAGGUUAGUGCAAUGGCAUAAGCCAGCUUGACUGCGAGCGUGACGGCGCGAGCAGGUGCGAAAGCAGGUCAUAGUGAUCCGGUGGUUCUGAAUGGAAGGGCCAUCGCUCAACGGAUAAAAGGUACUCCGGGGAUAACAGGCUGAUACCGCCCAAGAGUUCAUAUCGACGGCGGUGUUUGGCACCUCGAUGUCGGCUCAUCACAUCCUGGGGCUGAAGUAGGUCCCAAGGGUAUGGCUGUUCGCCAUUUAAAGUGGUACGCGAGCUGGGUUUAGAACGUCGUGAGACAGUUCGGUCCCUAUCUGCCGUGGGCGCUGGAGAACUGAGGGGGGCUGCUCCUAGUACGAGAGGACCGGAGUGGACGCAUCACUGGUGUUCGGGUUGUCAUGCCAAUGGCACUGCCCGGUAGCUAAAUGCGGAAGAGAUAAGUGCUGAAAGCAUCUAAGCACGAAACUUGCCCCGAGAUGAGUUCUCCCUGAGACUUAGAGUCUCCUGAAGGAACGUUGAAGACGACGACGUUGAUAGGCCGGGUGUGUAAGCGCAGCGAUGCGUUGAGCUAACCGGUACUAAUGAACCGUGAGGCUUAACCUU
rnacentral:rRNA from 1 species